GCGGCGCUCAAGAUGGAAAUUCAUUUUUCAGCAGUACUGAAUAAAUUGUUUUAGGAUCAAGAAGAAAAAUGAUGAUUCCUAUCGGAGUUUCUUCAUCGAUGUGCACCAAUGUUUUUCUUCAUGGCGACAAAAAACUGAACAUUUCGGGCUGGUUAAAUUGUGCUGUACUAACCAAGAUGCAACAACUACAAAACUGAAUCGAAAUUGGGAGACAGCAAUUCCAAAUAAGAAUGUCGUUCCGUUUAUUUGUCACGAUAUACAUAUUUCACAACUCUUGGUUGACAAUAAUUUUACUCUAUUUUAUAAUAUAUCUUUAUUUCUCAAUAAAGUUUGCAUUUGUAUGUUAAUGACAAAAUUCAAUUUAAUUCAAAAUAGUCAUAAAGAAAUUUAAUAAAAAAGCUAGUCGAAAAGUCUAUGAAACUACUCAUUUUUGCGUAUUUUUUAGAAUAAUUGCUUCCAAGCUUGAAUACCCAAAUAUGGGUAUUGUCAGUUUACCUAUUUAUGAGUAAACCCGCUUUUUGGCGAUUAUGGGCAAACUUUACCCAUAUUUGGGUAGACUGUUCUUAGCGUGUACAUCUAGGGCACCCAUACCCAAUGUGAUCUAUAAGAGGUGAAGAGAAAGUCAUUGUGUGAUUGUAUUAGUACAAUAAAAAUCAAAACAAACAUUGAGGGGAAAAUGAGUGACGUCAUACCGUUUCAACGAAAUGCUGUGAGUGGAUGUAAAACACUCCAUAUCGUGGAACAAAUCAAGAUCACACCGUAUAAAUCUGCAACUAACACCUAGAUGAAAGAGUCGAAUGGGUAGAUUCCAGGAAUUAUGUUUUUUCACUAUAUUCACGGAUGAAAGAAAGCACUUUUCUUACUUUUUUCUAAUUAUAUUCAAUUUGAGCACUACAUUUAUGGAUGAAUUACGCAAAAUAUCCUUUGGAAGAAAGAACAAUUUCAGCCUAUUCCAGCACAUUAUCAGUUUUGAUGAUAUUUGGGUUGCCUUCCGUUGUUAUAUUUCCUCUGUUUUAUAAUAGAUUUCAUCCUAAAAUAAAGCAAAACUUAGCAUGAAGCAAACAACGCAUGAAUUACCUGAAAUGCCAUCUUUCUGCGACGAAUUUUUUCAUGUUGUUGUUUGAACAACAGCACACAGGACAACCUUGGUAACGAUAGGGUUGCUAGUAACGAUACCUCGAAAUAAAUCGAUAACAAACUGUAUGACGUCACGCAGUGGUGGAAUGCAAUGGGUUGCUGUGUGAAAAUUUAAGCGACCCACUAACACAUGCAAGCAGUUGUGUAUUACACAAAAUCAUCUCCUCACCUCUAAUAAAGCACAUUGACCCAUACCAUUGGGCGUGAUAACCACUAUAAUCGAGUAAAAAUAAGAGAGAACAGUGGCACGCAACAUGAUUUUUCCCAUUUUUCCACCUGAGCAAACUAAGAACAUUGACUACGGAGCUCAGUCCAGCAAUAAUGUUAAUCAUAAAAAGAUGUGAUCUUUUUCAAAGAAAAUUUUAUUAGUGUUUUCUAAGUUUUAUAUUGAUUUUUGUUUUUGUCGUGCAAAUGUGUAAAAAAAGAAAUGCUGAGAUCAAUGCAGAAUUUGAUAUCAUCAAAAAAUAUUGUAUAUAUAUAGGAAAUAUUCCAUUCUUUGCAUCAAAGAAUGAUGUGGUUGUCAAAUUUGCCGAAUACGGCGAAACAUGUAACAUAUAUAUGCAAUCAAAUAAACCACAUUGCGACGUUAAACCUGCAAUUGUUCGAUAUCGUUCGAGAAAAAGUGUAGACAAGUCUUUGUGUUUAAACAAUUCAAAAUUCGGCAACACGAUAUUAAUAGUUCUACCACUAAGUUUGCCUUAUUCAAGAUAUCUGCUGACCUAUGAUACUUGCAUUGUGGUAUAUAUUAAUGAUAAGAAUUCUUGUAAGACAUCAAUGGCUGAGCUAUAUGAUGAAUUUCAAAAAAUUGGUGAUAUUCAAAACAUGUUUAAAACGACAAAUAAUAUGAUUUAUAUAAACUUUGAGUCUGAAAAGUCUAUGCAAUUAUCUUUAGCUACUAAGCCCUUUUUAAUAAAUAAUAAUAUUUUCAAAAUCAAAAAAGUUGAACGAAACAUUAACAUGUGCGGUCUAAAUUCAGAAAGCCAGGAUUUCUCCACAAAUCUAAAAAAAAAACUUUUGUAUAAUCGCUCUAUUGGAAUAUUUGGAUUGCCAUCAAAUGCCACGGAAGAGCGAAUUGCACAAAUAUUUUCAAGGUUUGGCGACAUUCAAAAAAUUACAUUGAUAUGCGACGUAGUCGGCAACUCGAAGCAAUAUGGUUUUAUAUAUUACAAGAAACGUACUUCUGCUAAUGCUGCUAAAGUGAUAAUGGAUGGAGAAAAUUUUGAAGGAAAUAAAAUUUCCGUUCGAUUUGUCCCAGAAAAAAAAGUGUUUAAAAAUUAAUAAAGU